rnacentral:rRNA from 1 species
GAUGAACGCUAGCGGCAGGCUUAAUACAUGCAAGUCAAGGGGGUAGCAAUACAACCGGCGCACGGGUGAGUAAUGCGUACACAACAUACCAUAUACUGGAGUAUAGCUUUGGGAAACUGAAGGUAAUCCUCCAUAACAUUGCGAGAGGGCAUCUGAUUGCAAUUAAAGUUUCGGCGGUAUAUGAUUGGUGUGCGUUUGAUUAGCUAGUUGGUAGGGUAACGGCCUACCAAGGCGACGAUCAAUAGCUGGCGUGAGAGCGCGACCAGCCACACUGGAACUGAGACACGGUCCAGACUCCUACGGGAGGCAGCAGUAGGGAAUAUUGGACAAUGGGCGGAAGCCUGAUCCAGCCAUGCCGCGUGGAGGAUUAAGGGCCCUCUGGGUUGUAAACUCCUUUUAUCUGGGAAGAACCAUUUCGACUUGUCGAAACAUGACGGUACCAGAGGAAUAAGCACCGGCUAACUCCGUGCCAGCAGCCGCGGUAAUGUAGUCG